rnacentral:rRNA from 1 species
UAUNGGUCAAUGGACGCAAGUCUGAACCAGCNAUGCCGCGUGCAGGAUGACGGCUCUAUGAGUUGUAAACUGCUUUUGUACGAGGGUAAACCCCGAUACGUGUAUUGGGUUGAAAGUAUCGUACGAAUAAGGAUCGGCUAACUCCGUUCCAGCAGCCGCGGUAAUACGGAGGAUCCGAGCGUUAUCCGGAUUGAUUGGGUUUAAAGGGCGCGUAGGCGGUUUGAUAAGUUAGAGGUGCAAUGUCGGGGCUCAAACCCGAAACUGCCUCUAAUACUGUUGGACUAGAGAAUAGUUGCGGUAGGCGGAAUGUAUGGUGUAGCGGUGAAAUGCUUAGAGAUCAUACAGAACACCGAUUGCGAAGGCAGCUUACCAAACUAUAUCUGACGUUGAGGCACGAAAGCGUGGGUAGCAAACAGG